UACAGAGGGGGCAAGCGUUAUUCGGAAUUAUUGGGCGUAAAGGGCGCGUAGGCGGCCUGGCAAGUGGAUGGUGAAAUCCCUCGGCUUAACCGAGGAACUGCCGUCCAAACUGCUUCGCUUGAGACCGGGAGAGGUGAGUGGAAUUCCCAGUGUAGCGGUGAAAUGCGUAGAUAUUGGGAGGAACACCAGUGGCGAAGGCGGCUCACUGGCUCAUUACUGACGCUCAGGCGCGAUAGCGUGGGGAUCAAACAGG
rnacentral:rRNA from 1 species